AAAAGAAGCCCUUAAUUUCAAAGAACACUGAACGUGCUUACUUUGAUUCGGCCGACUGGGCCCUUGGAAAGCAAGGAACGAAGGGGGGACAGGACACCAGAAGUCCUGUGGAGUCCCUGAGGCCCAAGCUGCAGCCAACGCCCCAUCAUCGGCUGCCCCCUCGGAGGCCAGCAUACACAACGGGGUGAAAUCAGGCUUAAUGGAGCUUCGAGAGUUGAGGAUAGCGCAGAUGUUUCCACCUCUUGUCAUUAUUUUGGUCAUUUUAAGCCUGUCUUUUUCCUUUGUUGCAAUUGUUUUAAGUUAAUUCAGAAAAUGUUAUCCUUCGUGAAGGAAGCAGAUGGUACUUUAAACAGGAAGGCAUAAUUUU
rnacentral:misc_RNA from 1 species